CCUACGGGUGGCAGCAGUCGAGAAUCAUUCACAAUGGGGGAAACCCUGAUGGUGCGACGCCGCGUGGGGGAAUGAAGGUCUUCGGAUUGUAAACCCCUGUCAUGUGGGAGCAAAUUAAAAAGAUAGUACCACAAGAGGAAGAGACGGCUAACUCUGUGCCAGCAGCCGCGGUAAUACAGAGGUCUCAAGCGUUGUUCGGAAUCACUGGGCGUAAAGCGUGCGUAGGCGGUUUCGUAAGUCGUGUGUGAAAGGGGCGGGCUCAACCCGCGGACGGCACAUGAUACUGCGAGACUAGAGUAAUGGAGGGGGAACCGGAAUGCUCGGUGUAGCAGUGAAAUGCGUAGAUAUCGAGAGGAACACUCGUGGCGAAGGCAGGUUCCUGGACAUUAACUGACGCUGAGGCACGAAGGCCAGGGGAGCGAAAGGGAUUAGAUACCCUAGUAGUC
rnacentral:rRNA from 1 species